GUAGGUUGUAUGGUAUAUUACAGUGAAUGAUCUGUAUGUUUCAUCAUUUCAGAUAUAAACGAGUGCGAUGAGGGCCCAUGUGGCUUAAGGGUGUGUCAGAAUUCUGUGGGGUCAUUCACAUGUCUGUACCAAUGUGUCACGGGAUACAGACGGAACGGUUUUAACGCAGCGUGUGUGGAUGUAGACGAAUGUAAUGGGGAUAACUCCUGUUCUGCUAAUGCGGACUGUAACAAUACUGUUGGAAGCUACAACUGUACAUGUAAGGUUGGUUACCAUGGGAACGGAAGCCAAUGUGAAGAUGCCAACGAGUGUACGGAGCCUGACGCCUGCUCUCCAAAUGCUGUUUGUAUGAACGUACCUGGUAGUUACAGCUGUAAAUGUAACGUCGGAUUUACUGGAGAUGGGAGCAGCUGUACAGGUAACAAGAUCAUCAGCGAAAUUAGAGACCUUUAGCUAGAAGCUAAGAGUUCAUUUUGUAACUUGUAACUUCCCUCAGUAUACGUGCGCGGAAAUGUCCUCCCCCAAUACACGUACGUGGAAAGGCCUUCCCUCAAUAUACGUACGCGGAAAGGCCUUCCCUCAAUAUACGUACGUGGAAAGGCCUUCCCUCAAUAUACCUACGUGGAAAGGCCUUCCCUCAGUAUACGUACGCGGAAAGGUCUUCCUUCAAUAAACGUACGUGGAAAGGCCUGUUGGCAACCAGUGGAUGGUUGGUUUCUCCCGGGUUCUAUCCGAUUUCCUCCACAAAUAAUGCUGGUCGCCGUUGUAUAAGUGACAUAUUCUUGAGUGUGGCGUAUAACGCCAAUUAAAUCAAUUAAAUAAAUAUUCACUAAUAUAGUAUUCACUUUGAGCUUUUACAUGGUGUCGUAAAACGGAAUGUAUGACUUUCAUAAUUCAGUAUUUUUGCAGUAGUGAGGGAGCCAUUCAUAGCAUCACGUUACAACUUUCUAAAGUUGACAGACUAAGUUGUAAAGUGUUGGAAGUUUAUCCUUACAAAAUGAUUAUGACAUUUUGUAGUUUAACAUGUUUUAAUGCCAAAGUAACAACUUUGAAUGUUGCAUUCAGCAGCAUAGAUUAAAUAAUCUUAUAAUCCACCAAUAUUUCACUCCCUGCCCGUGUACAAUAUUUUAAAAUAAUGACUCUCAUAUUUUACUUCAUUUAUUUGAUUGAUGUUUUACGCUGUGCUCACGAAUAUUCCAGUGGUACGACGGCGGCUCAUAUUUUACGCAUUUAACGUGUUUAUAACACUUAGAAUAUGUCGGCAUUUCAACACUUGCAUUUUAAAUACUGUUGGAUAGGGCGUUAAACACCAAUCGAAUAAUCAAAUAAGUAACUAGAAUUCAGCCGCACAAUCUGUGGUGAGCUAUGUCAAAGUGAAUCGGUCAGCUCGCUUGUGAGCCAAGCAUAAUGAUUAUCACCUGCCUCCUUUAAUUCUAGUGAGUUUAGCAAGACAUAUUUCCAUCACUGCUCGAUUCAUUUCAUUCUGUACUCCUAUAGGUCAUCGGUGUAGCGUUUGGUGCUUGUAAUGAGUGCAUGAGGGAUAACGCCACAUUGACAUUAUUUCAGUCCUAUGUCAUGGAGAUGUGCAUGAAGUUUAUUUAAAUUCACGAGCUAUAAUCCUCAUCUGCUGGGUUUGGAGGGUGUGGCCAGCAACCACGAACGUCAAAUUUCAGAUAUUCCUGCAAUGAACUUUUUAUACGGUUUUGACGAAUGCAAUGCAAGUAUAAAUUAAUAAAAUCAGGUGUAACUAGAAUGGAUCUGCGAACAGUAGAUCCUAGGCCGGGAUCCCGGAUCGGAUUGAAGACGUUUUCCCCACCCAGUAAUACACGGCCCUUGUAACAGCAAGUUCAUACUUCCACGUAUCAAUCCACGACCUGCCAUGCACAGACUACCUGGCACCCUCCUCCCUCUUGACAACGGGGCUAGGCAGCCAUACUUUUGUACACAUAGAGUACAUGUGUAGCGCUUUGUACUCAGUGAUGUUCAGCUUUACAGGUGGAACGAUUUUCUCGCAACAGACCUCCAAAUAUGGUGGGAAUUGCGCUUUUUCGUGUUUUGAUCGCAAUUUGCGGCAAAACUAUACAUGCUUAAAUUUUCGUGCGUUCAUACUAGUCGCAAAUGCAUUUAAAAUGCAUCAUAUAACAAGGGGACAUCAAACAUUUAUUGACACACUUCAAUGAUUUUCAGCACGCAGUGGUUUUGUGUCACGUGACCUCCAAACAUGGGCAAAAAUUGCACUUUUUCGCACUUAUAUGGCAAUUGGCGACAAAACCGUGCGUUGGAGGACGCAAAAACCACCAGAUUCGUCAU